UCCUGACUGACCGAUAGUGAACCAGUACCGUGAGGGAAAGGCGAAAAGAACCCCGGCGAGGGGAGUGAAAAAGAACCUGAAACCGUGUACGUACAAGCAGUGGGAGCACGCUUAGGCGUGUGACUGCGUACCUUUUGUAUAAUGGGUCAGCGACUUAUAUUCUGUAGCAAGGUUAACCGAAUAGGGGAGCCGAAGGGAAACCGAGUCUUAACUGGGCGUUAAGUUGCAGGGUAUAGACCCGAAACCCGGUGAUCUAGCCAUGGGCAGGUUGAAGGUUGGGUAACACUAACUGGAGGACCGAACCGACUAAUGUUGAAAAAUUAGCGGAUGACUUGUGGCUGGGGGUGAAAGGCCAAUCAAACCGGGAGAUAGCUGGUUCUCCCCGAAAGCUAUUUAGGUAGCGCCUCGUGAAUUCAUCUCCGGGGGUAGAGCACUGUUUCGGCAAGGGGGUCAUCCCGACUUACCAACCCGAUGCAAACUGCGAAUACCGGAGAAUGUUAUCACGGGAGACACACGGCGGGUGCUAACGUCCGUCGUGAAGAGGGAAACAACCCAGACCGCCAGCUAAGGUCCCAAAGUCAUGGUUAAGUGGGAAACGAUGUGGGAAGGCCCAGACAGCCAGGAUGUUGGCUUAGAAGCAGCCAUCAUUUAAAGAAAGCGUAAUAGCUCACUGGUCGAGUCGGCCUGCGCGGAAGAUGUAACGGGGCUAAACCAUGCACCGAAGCUGCGGCAGCGACGCUUAUGCGUUGUUGGGUAGGGGAGCGU
rnacentral:rRNA from 1 species